GUGCGGGUGUGGGGGAUCUGAGGCUUCCGGUCUCCGGCAGGCUUGUUUGCAUUGGCGCGUCUGGUUCAUGGCUGCGGCCGGGAACCGUGGUGGUUCUCGGGCGGUGCUUGGCGCAGCGGGGAGGUGGAAGAGGUGGAUGUCGACGUGGGGAUUGUGUGCUAUGCAGUGCUCGAAUCUGCUUGGAUUCGAAGGUGUGGAGGAGUUCCGGGCGAAAGUCCAGCACUGACCUUGGGUCGGUGCCGGCAACAGCGGCACCAUGGUCAUAGUGUCGUUCCCCUUCUUGAAGGUGUUGCCAUGGUGCUCCUUUGCACGACUCUCCGGGAGAAAUCCCUAGCUUCAGCCCUAGCUUCAGAUGGCUGAAGCGGGCGAUGACGGCGGCUACGUCGUUUCCUUCUUUGAGGCGUCGUCUUGGAGAGUCAGCAUGUUGCAGUUUGCACGGAUCUCUUCAUCGUCAGGGGCAAUGGACGUCGGGGCGGCGGCUCCGGAUGGUUUCUGAUUGUGAGUCGAGAUGGCGAUCUCGGGAACAAUGUGAGUGGUAGCUCUAUGAGAAUCUAAAGAAGACGGGGACAAACAAAUGAUCAGUUUAUCCUUGGCAACUUACCUGAUCGACGCCACAUGAUUAGGCUGCCAACUCUCAUCCAUCGACAAGGCAUGAUGCUCCUACCCAAUCCAAGGCGUCGACAAUGGCGGAAAGGCGGGGGCGACACGAUCCGGCUUUAGCAAGGCAGCCACGUGGGAAGUGGGCCGCUCGCUUUAUGGCACAACGAAUGAUGGAAGGACGGGAGCCACCAUGUGUCUUCACCAAAAUUUCCAUCGACCGCCUUUCUCUUCAAUUCCCUACCUAUCUUGGAGCGAUCGAUUAGUCUCUGCUUUGAUGCGAUUAUGUUCUGUUCUGCUGCCGGGGAGAGCGUUGGCUGGUUUUUUUAUUAGCACACUCCACUAGGUUUUAUUUAUUGAUGAUCAUCAUGCGGGAGAUCAAGGCAUGAGUCUCCCCGCAUCUAGAGUAGUAGCAAACCUACGUAGAUUGUGAGCUUUAUAUUUCGAGCCUCUUUAAGAGAUUGUUUUCCUCAAGAAAAAUACUUCCUCCUCC